rnacentral:lncRNA from 1 species
ACCUCAGAUUUCAUCUCGUACAGACAAGCUGUGUCACCUUGGGCAGAUGCAGUUCCUGUGAACUCCUGAAUGGGAUCCUGUGAUGUCACAAGAGAUCUUUCUUUCAGAUCAGGUGGCUACAUUUUAAGCCUCAGAAUGAACAGAAGUUCCCACCAAUACCAGCGUGUAGCGAAUUCUGCAUUCUGUACAUUUUCUCUGAACUUUAGAAAGAUUCUUACUUUUUGUAGACUUCAGAAGAAUUUGUCAGCAUAUCCUCUCAUAACAUUCUCCCUAUAAUACCAGAUUCUUACACGAGAAGGAGAAAUAUAACACUGUGAGGCUAAGCCAUAUGUGCCUUAAUCUUGACAUUCCAUGGCAAAGCAACUUGAUAAAAUCUGACUAGAAAUCACUGAAAUUUUUCUUAAAGACAUGAGAAUAUGUAUGAUUUGAAGAGAACAAAGAAUGGCCAUCAUAAAUAGGCUUUGUUGUUAUUAUUGUUUUGCUGUUUUGUUGUUUUUUUUUAAAUGAACCAUGAGGUUAGGGAGUUGGAUCAUCAGUCAAAAGUGUUUGCUGCUCCCUGGCUUUCAGAACCUGGUACCCACAUCAAGUUCAUCAAGUUGUUCACAACUGCCUGUAACGCCUGCACAGGGCAAUCUGAUGUCGUCUUACUGCCUCCCCAGGCACCUGCACCAGUAUGCACGUACACACAGACAGACACACCAGUAUGCAUGUACGCACAGACAGACACAAGCACAUACAUGUCAGGGAACAUAAAAGACAAGGUUUUUUAAUACCCCCCAAAAGUAUGCAUUGAAGUAGAUGUAUUUCAUUAAGUACUUAUUUGUUUAUAAAUUACUCACCCAAAUUUAAUAGUCACUCUUAUUGCAUUUCCUCAAAUUCACUUUAAAAUUUCAGAAGUGAGGUACAGUAACAAAGGCCCAUCCUUAUUAAUGAUAGGGAUUCUAGGAGCAACUGUCUUGGCACCAUUUCAUGAAAACUUGUUUGUAAGCACUUAAGUAAUCUUAGCCAGAUGUGUAGACGGGGGCAGACCUGAGGGACUGCAUUUUGACUGAUUCAGAGAUAUGCUGUGGUCUCUCAUCCAGUCGACGCUUUCUGUGUCAGAGCACUUAAGCUAGAUUAUGCAGGCAGCCAGGAAGUUACAGGAAACUUUCUGUGGUUCUACCUAGAGCUAGAACAAAGUCAUUUGCUCUGGGAUGUUUACUCUUCAUCUAUAAACUAAAACCAUUAUUUAAAAACCAGAUUUUAGUGAGGUUAGGCUACCAUUAAGACCACGAAAACCCUUUAUAAAUAUGAGUGCUUUGUAGCUCUGAUUCUUAAGAGGACAUUAUUAAAAUGGUGGCCUGUACUCUUAUGGAAUCCUAUUGUUUAAA